AUUGAACGCUGGCGGAAUGCUUUACACAUGCAAGUCGAACGGUAGAGGGGGCAACCCCCUUGAGAGUGGCGAACGGGUGAGUAAUAUAUCGGAACGUGCCCAGUCGUGGGGAUAACGUAGCGAAAGUUACGCUAAUACCGCAUACGAUCUACGGAUGAAANCGGGGGACUCGCAAGAGCCUCGCGCGAUUGGAGCGGCCGAUAUCAGAUUAGGUAGUUGGUGGGGUAAAGGCUCACCAAGCCAACGAUCUGUAGCUGGUCUGAGAGGACGACCAGCCACACUGGGACUGAGACACGGCCCAGACUCCUACGGGAGGCAGCAGUGGGGAAUUUUGGACAAUGGGGCGCAAGCCUGAUCCAGCAAUGCCGCGUGCAGGAUGAAGG
rnacentral:rRNA from 1 species